AUACGGAGGGUGCAAGCGUUAUCCGGAUUCACUGGGUUUAAAGGGUGCGUAGGAGGGCAGGUAAGUCAGUGGUGAAAUCCCCGAGCUUAACUUGGGAACUGCCGUUGAUACUAUCUGUCUUGAAUAUUGUGGAGGUAAGCGGAAUAUGUCAUGUAGCGGUGAAAUGCUUAGAUAUGACAUAGAACACCAAUUGCGAAGGCAGCUUGCUACACAACUAUUGACUCUGAUGCACGAAAGCGUGGGGAUCAAACAGGAUUAGAUACCCUGGUAGUCCACGCCCUAAACGAUGGAUACUCGACAUCAGCGAUACACUGUUGGUGUCUGAGCGAAAGCAUUAAGUAUCCCACCUGGGAAGUACGACCGCAAGGUUGAA
rnacentral:rRNA from 1 species